rnacentral:lncRNA from 1 species
AUGAGGCAAACGUUGAAGGAUCCAGCGGGGAGAUUCUCCCGUGGGAGUACCUGCUCCAGUGGCUCGCUCCAAGCCACCACCCGGCUUCUCCAGCUCCAGCUCCGCCUCGCCGCGGACGACGGCGCCGGCGUGCACCCUCGGCCUUCCUCUCCACCCUCCCAGCGCCUGAUGAGAGACCGGAUAGAGAGACGCGUUCGGAUCACUCCAGUUACGUGGGCACCCGUCUGGCUGUGUGCUACCCCGGCUUUGAUCCACGGCGUGGGGAGAGACGCCGGGCUCCCCCGCAGUCCUGUGUUCCGGGACGCAGCUGUGUGCCCGCCGCUGCCCCUGCUCUGCGCAGCAGUUUGGACAAGCCCUCGGCCAGACCAGCAGUUCCGUCUCCGAGCAGUUCCGGCUCCGACCCAAUCGGCGCCUCCGUCAUCUGCAGAGGGAGGAGCGUUGGCCGCAUCCCAGCUGACUGAGCUCGUCAGUCUCCAGGCGGAGCUUGGCCGGUUCCGCCAGCUCAUCAGCUUCCAGGAAUCCCGCCUGGACGCUCUAUCCUCCUCAUCUCAGGACCAGACGAGCGAGCCCGGUGUUCACCCAGUGGAGCUCGCCGAUCUCCGGGCUGAGCUGGCCCAGCUCCAUUGGACCCUCAGCCUUAAGGAGCGUCAGCUGGACGGUCUGUCCUCCCUGCUUUCACAGUUCUCAGCACCACCUACUCUGUCGCAGCCAGCUCCAGCAGUGGCCCCGGUGGACGCUCCGCAUCCAGUUCCAGCGGUGGUCCCGGAGGUCGCACCGCAUCUGGUCCAGCCUGGCCAGGCAGCUCCUCCUGCAGCAGCUCUGCCUCCAGCCCAGAAGCUGAUGAUACCGGUCCGGAAGCAUGCGGUCCCGGCCCAGAAGCAGAAGGUCCGGGCCCAGAAGCAGUCGGUUCUGACCCCGAAGCAGAUGGUUCCGGUUCCGGACCAGAGGUCGACAGUCCAGGGGUCAACGGCCCAGGGGUUGACGGUUCGGAAGUCGAUGGACCAGAAGUCGACGCCUCCGGACCAGGAAUCGAUGCCCCCAGAUCAGAAGUCGAUGGGGGUCGACGCCUCCUCCAGUUCAAGGGUCGACACCUCCUCCAGUUCAAGGGUCGACGCCUCCUCCAGGCCAGAAGUCGAAGCCCCCGGGCCAGAAGUCGAAGCCCCCGGGCCAGAAGUCGACGCCCCCUCCUGUUCUGAAGUCGACGCCCCCUCCUGUUCUGAAGUCGACGCCCCCUCCUGUUCUGAAGUCGACGCCCCCUCCUGUCCUGAAGUCGACGCCCGUUCCUGUCCUGAAGUCGACGCCCGUUCCUGUCCUGAAGUCGACGCCCGUUCCUGUCCUGAAGUCGAC